CCUUAAGCUGAGCCGCGCGAAUUCUGGUUUCCAUUCAUCUCGAGCUGCGCCGAGUCCGGCUCCUACUGGGGAGCUGCGGCAGUUUGUUACUCGAGGCCGCCCUUCAAGGCGGGCCCCGAAGGUCCGGCCUGGUGAAGAGUUGGUUUUGUCAGCAGUUUGGUCUCUCCAUGUUUGACAGCUUCCCUUUGCUCACCCAGAUGGGAGAAAAAGCAAGAUGAAAGUACUUUAAUACUAAAAGAGUAAGAGCCCAUGAGCACAACACAAUUUCAGACUUCGAAGAAAAGGAGGAAUUAAUAAGUGAUGUCCCCAAGAAGGCAGAAAUAUCUGGGAGAGGUGAUUUGUGUCAAGUAUUUUGUUACAGCACUGAAAAGUAUGGCAUACUACUUAAAGAAUAAGACUCUGUAGAUGAAAUAGAUUACUCCUGUGAAAAAAUAUCCUGGUUAUUCAAUAAAUACUCCGCGUGGGAGGAGUAGAGAAAGACGGAAAGGCAUCUGCUAGAACUAUGUGAGAGUCUGGACAUUUUCUGGCCUUCUUGUAAAAGAAGAUAAAGGGAUGUGUUUCUGAGUGUCAUCCUGAUCUUUCCAAAGUGUUGCAGUGUGGUCCAGAGAGCAGAGCCAGCCUUUUUGCUGUGGAUCCCAUCACCAUCCAUUGCUGAAGAAGAAGCAGGGCUCAGGACAAGCAUGUCAAACACACCUGACACUACAAAUCUACACUUUGCAACUGGCUCUCAUCACAUGCUGUCUUCUCACCCUUCUCCACUGAAAAAUAAAAGGAAAAUGUAUGAUGGCCAAGUAAAAAAUGACAGGAAAUCUUCUAGUCAAGCUUAAUAGUAUUUGCUAUGUUUAGCUUACAGAACUGAAAAAUACCUAUUAGUGUAAAGACAUUAAGAAAUGCACAGAAAGAUGAAAAUAAAACGAAACCCCAUCCCAAGAGAUCCCCUGCUUUUAGCAUUUUAUGGCAUACUUCUCUAAACUUUAAUAAAAUGUUUCAGUGAUUUAAAA
rnacentral:lncRNA from 1 species